GGCCUUAUGGUCUAGUCGUAUGAUUCUCCCUUUGGGUGGCUUCUGCUGCGAAUCUGGGAGAGGUCUCGGGUUCAAUUCCCGAUGAGGCCC
rnacentral:tRNA from 2 species